AUUGAACGCUGGCGGCAGGCCUAACACAUGCAAGUCGAGCGGAUAAAGGGAGCUUGCUCCUGGAUUCAGCGGCGGACGGGUGAGUAAUGCCUAGGAAUCUGCCUGGUAGUGGGGGAUAACGUCCGGAAACGGGCGCUAAUACCGCAUACGUCCUGAGGGAGAAAGUGGGGGAUCUUCGGACCUCACGCUAUCAGAUGAGCCUAGGUCGGAUUAGCUAGUUGGUGGGGUAAAGGCCUACCAAGGCGACGAUCCGUAACUGGUCUGAGAGGAUGAUCAGUCACACUGGAACUGAGACACGGUCCAGACUCCUACGGGAAGCAGCAGUGGGGAAUAUUGGACGAUGGGCGAAAGCCUGAUCCAGCCAUGCCGCGUGUGUGAAGAAGGUCUUCGGAUUGUAAAGCACUUUAAGUUGGGAGGAAGGGCAGUAAGUUAAUACCUCGCUGUUUUGACGUUACCAACAGAAUAAGCACCGGCUAACUUCGUG
rnacentral:rRNA from 1 species